ensembl:misc_RNA
GUGAGGGGCUGGGCGAGAGAAGGGAGGGGAAAGGAUGGGGGAACGCACGCCCCAAGAGCGAAAGCAAACAGCUAGCUGUGGAGGCGCCGCCCGCAGUUCAGGCUUCCCAACAGGAUAGCUGGACUGGGAUCCACCCGGUAUUUCGCAGGAAAGGGGGGGUGGGACGAAGCAAGAGGAGGAGAGUGCAUUACUAGAGGACAGAAGGAGGGAGGGAAGGAG